rnacentral:rRNA from 1 species
GAAUCUUGCGCAAUGGUCGAAAGACUGACGCAGCGACGCCGCGUGCGGGAGGAAGCCCUUCGGGGUGUAAACCGCUGUUACUCGGGACGAAUUUCCCGAAUAGUCGGGAUUGACGGUACCGGGGGCGGAAGCACCGGCUAACUCUGUGCCAGCCGCCGCGGUAAUACAGAGGGUGCGCGCGUUGUCCGGAAUCACUGGGCGUCAAGGGCGCGCAGGCGGCUUUCUACGCGUGCGGUGAAAGCCCGGGGCUUAACUCCGGGUCUGCCGUGCGAACGGGGAGGCUUGAGUCUGGUAGAGGUCGAUGGAAUUCCGGGUGUAGCGGUGGAAUGCGUAGAGAUCCGGAAGAACACCGGUGGCGAAGGCGGUCGACUGGGCCAGAACUGACGCUGAGGCGCGACAGCGUGGGGAGCAAGCAGG